CUACGUGCCAGCAGCCGCGGUAAUACGGAAGGUUCGGGCGUUAUCCGGAUUUAUUGGGUUUAAAGGGAGCGUAGGCCGUGGAUUAAGCGUGUUGUGAAAUGUAGACGCUCAACGUCUGAAUUGCAGCGCGAACUGGUUCACUUGAGUAUGCACAACGUUGGCGGAAUUCGUCGUGUAGCGGUGAAAUGCUUAGAUAUGACGAAGAACGCCGAUUGCGAAGGCAGCUGACGGGAGCGCAACUGACGCUGAAGCUCGAAGGUGCGGGUAUCGAACAGGAUUAGAUACCCUGGUAGUCCGCMCAGUAAACGAUGGAUGCCCGCUGUUGGUACCUGGUAUCAGCGGCUAAGCGAAAGCAUUAAGCAUCCCACCUGGGGAGUACGCCGGCAACGGUGAAACUCAAAGGAAUUGACGGGGGCCCGCACAAGCGGUGGAGUAUGUGGUUUAAUUCGACGCAACGCGAAGAACCUUACCAGGUCUUGACAU
rnacentral:rRNA from 1 species